ACAAUUCGAAAGAAUAUAAGUACAAAUCUUAUAAUUUUAUUUAAUGCAAUUUCCACCACAUCAAGGUCAAAAUAAUUUAGCAUCAUGUUUCAUUCUAAACAUCAGGCAAUGGUGGAGGCGAAACCGGACCAUCAGGAACAAGAGGUGGGAAAGGAAUCACGGGAGGGAUUGGAAUGCUGGGAAAUGGUGGAAGUGGGAAUGGAAAGCUAGGUAAUGGUGGAAGUGGGAAUGGAAAGCUAGGUAAUGGUGGAAGUGGGAAUGGAAAGCUAGGUAAUGGUGGAAAUGGGAAUAUUUCAGGAAGUGGUGGGAACGGGAAUGGGAAUUCAAAAGGUGGUUCUCCGGGGAAUGUGAAAUCCUUUUCCGCACUUUUUUCAUUAGAAACAUCUGAUUUUUCAUGAAUCGGACGAGCCUCUCCCAAACAUGUGAGGCACACAAGCGAGAUCGCCAAGACCAAGAUCAUUACUUUGGAAGCCAUUUCUUAAGUGUGUGUGUGUGUGUUUCAGUGUUUGGGAGGUGAAUGUAAACUAUA
rnacentral:lncRNA from 1 species